rnacentral:misc_RNA from 1 species
GAUGAAGAACGUAGCAAAAUGCGAUAAGUAAUGUGAAUUGCAGAAUUCAGUGAAUCAUCGAAUCUUUGAACGCACAUUGCGCCCGCCAGUAUUCUGGCGGGCAUGCCUGUUCGAGCGUCAUUUCAACCCUCAAGCUCAGCUUGGUGUUGGGACUCGCGGUAACCCGCGUUCCCCAAAUCGAUUGGCGGUCACGUCGAGCUUCCAUAGCGUAGUAAUCAUACACCUCGUUACUGGUAAUCGUCGCGGCCACGCCGUAAAACCCCAACUUCUGAAUGUUGACCUCGGAUCAGGUAGGAAUACCCGCUGAACUUAAGCACAUCAAUAAGCGGAGGA